GUGUUUCACAAAAGUACAAGAAGGUUAUUCACUCUUUUGAUUUGCUGAUUGGGCACGGAUGAAGAGGUUCUUGGAUGCAGUAAAGAUUCAGCACAUGGAUUUGAAGUUAUCAUGCAAAUCAGAUGAUACCAGGUGAUCAUUACAUGUUUAUGAGGCUUCGGAAGGGGGUCAAGACCGUAAUGUU